rnacentral:rRNA from 1 species
UGCAUGAGCGUCAGUGCAGGCCCAGGGGAUUGCCUUCGCCAUCGGUGUUCCUCCGCAUAUCUACGCAUUUCACUGCUACACGCGGAAUUCCAUCCCCCUCUGCCGCACUCUAGCCUUGCAGUCACAAUGGCAGUUCCCAGGUUGAGCCCGGGGAUUUCACCACUGUCUUACAAAACCGCCUGCGCACGCUUUACGCCCAGUAAUUCCGAUUAACGCUUGCACCCUACGUAUUACCGCGGCUGCUGGCACGUAGUUAGCCGGUGCUUAUUCUUACGGUACCGUCAUGACCCGGGGAUAUUAGCCCCAGGCUUUUCGUUCCGUACAAAAGCAGUUUACAACCCGAGGGCCUUCAUCCUGCACGCGGCAUUGCUGGAUCAGGCUUUCGCCCAUUGUCCAAAAUUCCCCACUGCUGCCUCCCGUAGGAGUCUGGGCCGUGUCUCAGUCCCAGUGUGGCUGGUCGUCCUCUCAGACCAGCUACAGAUCGCAGGCUUGGUAAGCCUUUACCCCACCAACUACCUAAUCUGCCAUCAGCCGCUCUAGUAGCACAAGGCCCGAAGGUCCCCUGCUUUCAUCCGUA